UUCCCUAAGGACCAAUCAGUUUAAAAGUCACACUGUUCUACCAAUCACGUUGUGCCUAGUGGCUGUUGCUCUAUUCUACCUCUGAAAGCUGUAUAAAAACUGGCCAAACGGGCUGCCCAAGGUUGCUGCCUUUCCUUCAGGUGCAGGAAGACCCCAGUGUACUGGAACAAUAAAUUCCUCUUGCUUUUGCAUCGAUCCCUAGCUCCAAGUUGUUCACUGUGGCAGGGGUAGGGGUCCCAGACCCACCUCACAGGUUCUGACUGUCGGGAAGAAAGAAGCACGGGAGGAGGGAUCCGGGCCUGAGAGAAGUCAAUCCUCCAAGACCCUUCGCCAGCGGAUCUGUUGCUCCAAGACCCUCCUCCUCCAUAUCACCCUUCCCUUUCCCCCAUGGCCCUGCCGGUGCUGGCUCCAGCUCUGGAAUCCUCAGCCCAUAUAGGACCAGGGCCAUUGUAUCCCACUUUACCGGAGGAAUGAACAGGAGGAGAACCCCAACUUCCCGGUCCUGCCAUGGGGACCCAAAGUCUGAGAGCCACCUCCCCUGAUACCACGGUGGCUCUCUUGCUGGGGACAUAUGGGCCUCUGGAAAAGGGCAAUCAGGCUAUGCAAUAUUGGCCCUUCUCUUUGGCUGACUUGUACAACUGGAAGGCCCAACCCCCCCCCCUUUCCCAAGGGGCAGAUUAAUGUCUUUGAGACUGUUUUAUUUACUCAUCAGCCCACCUAGGUGAUAUCCAACAACUCACGAGAGUACUCUUCAUGACCGAAGAGAGAGAAGAUAAUGCAGGAAGCUAGAAAGACAUGGGGGCACCAUCGAUUGACCAGGUUGUUGUCGACAGCGGGCUUUCUCUGACUAGACCUGAGUAGGACUUGUCUUAGUCAGGGUUUCUACUCCUGCACAAACAUCAUGACCAUGUUUUGGGGAAGCAAGCCAUUAAAGAACAUCCCUCCAUGGCCGCCUCUGCAUCAGCUCCUGUUUUCUGACCUGCUUGAGUUCCAGUCCUGACUUCCUUCAGUGAUGAACAGCAGUAUGGAAGUGUAAGCCGAAUAAACCCUUUCCUCCCCAACUUGCUUCUUGGUCAUGCAUGAUGUUUGUGCAGGAAUAGAAACCCUGACUAAGACAGGACUUUAAUAUGACAAAGGUAAGGGGCACCUGAAGGUCCACUACCAGACUCCAUUGGCAGGUCUCAAGGGGGCCGCACAACGACCCACAAAUUUGACCAAGGUACGUGAGGUUAAGCAGGGACCAGAUGAGUUGCUCACAGUGUUUCUAGAGCGGCUCAUGGAGGCAUUGCGCCAAUAUGCACCCUAUGACCCCAACAGCAAGGAGCAUAAAGCUACUGUGACAGUGGCUUUUAUAGACCAGGCUAGUAGAGAUAUCAGAGAAAGGCUUCAGAGGCUAGAGGGAUGACAGGAUAAGCCAUUGAGGGAUUUAGUGCAGGUUGCUGAGAAAGUCUACCAUUACAGGGAGACAGAGGAGGAGAAGGAGCAGAGAAAGAGAAAGACAGAAAAAUGACAGGGAAGGAAUCUACAGAGAAUCUUGACUACAGUAGUUAGGGAAAGUAGAGAAGAGAGAUGCCAACCAAAGAGAAACAGAAACCCCUUGAAAAGGACCAGUGCACACAUUGCAAGGAGAGAGGUCACUGGACCUGAGAGCGCCCUAACGAAUGGAAGCUGGGGGCAGGAAAUCCCAGACCUUGGGGAAAGUGCCCCCAAAUGGCGAAGGUGUUAGCCCUGGGGGAAGACAGCAACUAGGGAGGACGAGGUUUGGACCCCCUCCCUGAAUUCAGGGUAACUCUGAGAGUGGAGGGAAACCCACUC
rnacentral:lncRNA from 1 species